CACAUCGCCGCCGCCGUAGCCAACCCUUCUUCUCCGAUUAGAACCGCCGGAUUGGCUCUUCACUGCUGCGAUCUUCCUCUUCUACAACACGAACUCGCAUCGGUUCUUAUUGACAAGAUCUGGAGCCGUUGUCUCUCCAAUUCAAUCUAUCAGGAGCUUCUUCUCUUGGUAACAUGUCUCCUCCGCCGUUUGUCUCGACCCUGAAAUCUCACAUCAAUGUCGUCGUUCACCGUUUAAAAUCAUUGUAGCCAUUAAAAAGUCACAAACUUCACUGUCUGAAGUCAAUUGUCACUAAUGAAAGGUAAAGUUCUUGGCUUUAACGAGAUAGCUUUAUCUAAAAAUUGUAAAGUUCUUGGAUUGAUUGAAUUAAAUCCACAUAAAUCCUCAAAUACAAAGACUAUUGAUGCUGAAUUGCUUUUAAUUAGUGUUUUUUCUUCUUGUUGUUGAUGUAAUCCUGUGCUGAUCUAUUAAAUUGAACUUUUUUAUCAACAAGAUUAAGGCCAGAAACUCGUCCACAAUUUGUAUAUCCACAAUUCACUGGUUCAAACGAUAUCAUUCAUUCUAUAUAAUCAAUAUCAACCCGUCCACAAUCUGUAUAUCCACAAUUCAUUGGUUCAAACGAUAUCAUUCAUUCUAUAUAAUCAAUAUCAACCCGUCCACAAUUUGUAUAUCUACAAUUUAUUGGUUCAAACGAUAUCAUCGUUCUAUAUAAUCAAUAUCAUAUAUACAAGAUGUUUAUGUGUAUAAGAGAUAUGUACGUUAAAAUUGUUCGUCCACAACUUGCUUUGUCCAUAAAAAUUAAUGUAUCUAUAUCCAUAAAUUUUCAUGUAUCCAUGUCCACAAACAUUUUUUCCUUCUUAUUAAGGGUAGAUUUGUCAAAAAAACACAUAGGUCCCACUAGAAAGUGUGUCAAAUGUGGAAAGUGUCUCUAGGUGUAAAAGAAAGACAAAAAGUGUCCUUUAGUGUAAUCAACUCCUCAUAAAGUGUCUGAGAGAGUAAUUGUUUCUUUUUAUUCGCAUGUGUGCUGCCAAAUUUACACACAGUCACCCAGGAAUAGUAGUCGUACCAAAAUUGCAAAUAAUUAUACUUUGAAUGUUUUUUUAUUUUAAUUAGUAUUACCAAACAUUAAACAAAAGAAAAAUUAUAGUUUUCCAGAUGAUUUAAGUUGAUUAACAUAUUAUCAUGAGUGAUGUAUGCAUUAAUAUGUUGCGAAACUGUAUGUUUUGUAACUUUUCUAUCCUAAGCCGGUUAUUAUUUACAAAGCGACUUUAAAAGUAUAUUCAACAUGAGAUUUGUGAAAAGUCACUAAAACACAUUUGCAAUUCCAUGUUAUUCAAUCAACAAUUCGUAAAAACUAUAUCAAAUCAAUUGUUAUUCAAUUGUAAACAGUAUGUAGUAAGAAAAACUUUGUAUAAAGAUUUUAGAAGACUUGAAACUCAUUUUUAGUUAGAAAUAGUUCUUGUAGAAUAAUAUGUCCAUAGAUGUUAUUUAAAGUAACUUGAAAAUAUAUUAGUUAAUACAUUCUGAAUAUAUGUACAAACACAUAAGAUUUGAGACUUGCUUUGUGUUCUCGUUUUGCUAUACCUCCUCACCCAGCCACCACUCUCAUUCCCACAUCACAUCCUCCUCUCUCUCUUCCUCAUUGGACCACCACUCUCUUAUCCACAUCAACCCCACCUCUUGCUCUCUCCUCCCCACUGAGCCACCACUCUUUAUCCCUUCUGUUGCCACCGACGAGCUCGUAUCUAAGGAUUUCAGUUUGUAAUUUACCUCGCUAAUCCUCAGUCCCUCUUCCACCUCUAUUAGCCUAGUCGUCUUUUUUUUUUGGUAAAAAAUGUAGCCUUGUCAUUGAUUGUGGGAUAUUCAGUUGAGUGUUUUUCUGUUGAGAUAACUAAACUUUUUCACCAUGUUCCUUUUAGAAAGUAAGAAUACUUUAUAGUGAUGGAAACACCAAGGGAAGAAUGUCCCGGAUCAGCUAUGUUGACGUCUUUGAGAAUAGAUUUGACUGACACAAAAAAAAUCUUUACAUCGUCUUGAUAAGGUAUAUGAUGCUACUCUUAAUGGAAGGUAAGGGUGUUCUGUACGUGUGAGUUUUAAGUUGUAGUUGUUCUGAAAUUUUUUUGUAGUCUUCAUGGUUUGAUACGUGGUGAAAACAUGGAGUUUGGUCGGGAUUCUGAUAUUGGUGGACACGUACGUACUCUUCUUCCUGCUAGCACUUUUUCAUUCCAAUUUUGGUUGCUCAAUUCACACUGUUUCAAAUGGUUUGUCAGGUGCAGUAUGUUGUGGAAUUUGCACGGAUAUUGGGCUCAAUGCCUAGAGUCUAUCGUGUCGAUUUGUGUUGACCAGAAAGAUAUCCGCACAAGAAUGAGAUAGCAGCGACUCUGAAACGAAUUAAAUGCUAAAUCCUUUGGACACAGACAGCAUAGAGCAGGAGCAUGGAGAGAAUAGUGGAGCUUAAAUGAAAUUUUAUCUUAGCAUGGAACAAGAUAUAUAAUAUGAUUCUACUUUAUACGAAAGUCUUCUUCAGCAAUGAGUCAAUGAGAAACCGACACACACUGUUUUCAGCAAGAUGAUGCAAAGAUGGGGAAAAGCUUGCAACAGAGAAAUAUCAGUUAUAUAUUACCAUUUCAAAUCACCUAAACAUUCUAAUUUUUUUAGAAAAUAUCUUAUCAAAUCCCCUAUAAAUUUUACUUUUAUUUUUAAAAUUUUAUUUAAACCACUCAAACAACUUCAAAACUCAUCUAAAUCCCACCAAAAUUAAAACACUCCAAAAUCACCUAAAAUACUUAAAUCAAUACACUCCAAAAGAGUAUGUUGUGUAGAUUCUUUGAUAACAAACCAAUAUGAUAUAAUUUUUUAUUUCUUCUACUUAGUACAUGUUUAUAACAUUUAUUGUGACAUUUACAAUGCCAAUCAAUCAACAAACUAAAAUAAGUAUCUUCAAAUUUGGAAAGAUACAACUUCAUUCAGUAAUACUAAUCAUCAUCUAUAUGUUAAUUGAGAAGCAUUACAACAUUUUUUGGUAGCCACGUGGCAUCAAUAGAAUGAUUCUUAGAAUUCUUAGAUAAAUACGUUGACUCAUCUAAAUAUGUUAGCAGCUUCGUCAUGAUGUUUUCUCUUCUCUUCUGUUUUAGUUGCAUAAAUAAUCGUAGGCUCUUUUAUUCAUAUUUUGAGUGAAAUCCCGUUUGAGAGAUGAUUCCCUUUGUUUGGUCAUUCUUAAGACUAUUGAUGUGAUCUUGGGCUGACUUAUGAAGUUUUGGACACUGAAAAUAUUUAGAAAUCAACCCGCGAUGUUAGGUGACAUGUACAGCCCAUUUUAUGAAGUUACAAGCCCAAAAAGAAUCAAAAUCAAGUGGUUUCUUUGCUGUCCAAGAGAAAUGACGAAAAUCAGAAACUAAAUUGCAUGGAAAGCUUCUUUCUCCUGCAUGCAAGGAUUACGAUUGCUUCUUCCAAGAACCUUCUCUCUCCUCCAUGCACUGUUUUGUGAUUCCUAUGUAUUAAUUAUCUAGCUUUCUCAACAAGUUUAGUUUCCUAUAAAUAAGGUGUAAUCUCUAAUGGAAUAAAAUAAGCUUUGAGUGAUUUUUUGGAACCUUGAGAGUGAUUCUCGCUUUUCAUUCAAUGAUGUGUAAUAUCCAUUGAUCUUUUUGAUCUGCCUUGGUGCGUCAUAUCCAAGGGAUCAAACUGAUUCGUCCUGGUGCGUCAUAUCCAGGGAAUCAUCCUCAUUGUCGUCUAGGUGCGUCAUAUCCUAAGGCAUUGAGUUGGAAUACUGAAAGCCUUCUGCAUCCUUCGUGCGACCAUUCACUCCACAUCUCUUGUCUUUGAUGAUUUACGGUUUCAUAGCAGCAAGGCUUAUCCCCCUUACCAACUUAGAGUGUCGACUCCUCGGGAGGUUUUCAUUAUUUGGUAUCAGAGCAACAAUCCGAGUUUGUUUUCUUUUUUCAGAGAGCAAGAUUUGAGGACAAAUAUUUUUGAAGAGGAGGAGUAUGAUUUGAUCUUGGGCGGAUUUAUGAAGUUCUGGACAUGAAAAAUAUUUAGAAAUAAACCCAUGAUGUUAGGUAACAUGUCCAGCCCAUUUUAUGGAGUUACAAGCCCAAGAAGAAUCAAAAUCAAGUGGUUUCUUUGCUGUCCAAGAAAAGUGACGAAAAUCAGAAACUAAAUUGCAUGGAAAGCUUCUUUCUCUUGCAUGCAAAGAUUGCUUCUUCCAAGAACUUUCUCUCUCCUCCAUGCACUGUUUAGUGAUUUCCUAUGUAUUAAUUAUAUAGUUUUCUCAACAAGUUUAGUUUUUUUAUAAAUAAGGUGUAAUCUCUAAUGAAAUAAAAAGCUUUGAGUGAUUAUUUUUGGAAUCUUGAAGGUGAUUCUCGCUUUUCAUUAAAUAAUGUGUAUUAUCCAUUGAUAUGUUCGAUCUGUCUUGGUGCGUCAUAUCCAAGGGAUCAAACCGAUUAAUCUUGGUGCAUCAUAUUCAGGGAAUCAUCCUCAUUCCCGUCUAGGUGCGUUCCUAAGGCAUUUAGUUGGAAUAUCGAAGGCCUUCCGCAUCCUUCGUGUGACCAUUCACUCCACAUCUCUUGUCUUUGAAGCUUUACGGUUUCAUAGCAGCAAGGUUUAUUCCCUUUACCAACUUAGAGUGUCGACUCCUCAGGAGUUUUCAUCAUUUGGUAUCAGGGCAACACUGAGUUUGGUAUUCACUUCUAUUAUCCACCAUUCUCAUCUAUCCAUCUUCUACAAAAAAAAAAGUUUUAUUAUUUAUGUUCUACAAAUCUGCUGGAUCUUUUUGAAGUAUGUGUUCAACUUUUCUUUCUUCGGAGAGUAAGAUUUAAAGACAAAUCUUUUUGAAGAGAAGGAGUAUGAUGUGAUCUUGGACUGAUUUAUGAAGUUAUGGACAUGAAAAAUAUUUAGAAAUCAACCCAUGAUUUUAGCUAACAUGUCCAGCCCAUUUUAUGGAAUUAUAAACCCAAGAAAAAUAAAAAUCAAGUGGUUUCUUUGUUGUCCAAGAAAAGUGACGAAAAUCAGAAACUAAAUUGCAUGGAAAGCUUCUCUCUCCUGCAUGCAAGGAUUGCUUCUUCCAAGAACCUUUUCUCUCCUCCAUCCACUGUUUUGUGAUUCCCUAUGAAUUAAUUAUAUAGCUUUCUCAACAAGUCUAGUUUCCUAUAAAUUAGUUGUAAUCUCUAAUGGAAUAAAAGAAGCUUUUGAGUGAUUAUUUUUGGAACUUUGAGAGUGAUUCUCACUUUUCUUUCAAUGGUGUGUAAUAUCCAUUGAUUUUUUCGAUUUGUCUUGGUGCGUGAUAUCCAGGGAAUCAUUCUCAUUGUCGUCUAGGUGCGUCAUAUCCUAGAGCAUUGAGUUGGAAUAUUGAAGGCCUUCUGCAUCAUUCGUGGGACCAUUCACUCCACAUCCCUUGUCUUUGAAGCUUUACGUUCCAUAGCAGCACGGCUUAUCCCCUUUACCAACUUAGAGUGUCGACUCCUCAGGAGGUUUUGGUCAUUUGGUAUCAAAGCAACACUUUGAGAUUGAGCAAGAUUUGAGGAUAAAUCAUUUUGAAGAGGAGGAGUAUGAUGUGAUCUUGGGCUUAUUUAUAAAGUUCAGGACAUGAAAAAUAUUUAGAAAUCAACCCAUGAUGUUAGUUAACAUGUCCAGCCCAUUUUAUGGAGUUACAAGCCCAAAAAAAAUCAAAAUCAAGUGGUUUCUUUGUUGUUCAAGAAAAGUGACGAAAAUCAGAAACUAAAUUGCAUGGAAAGGUACUCUAUCCUGCAUGCAAGGAUUGCUUCUUCCAAGAACUUUCUCCCUCCUCCAUGCACUGUUUUGUGAUUUCCUAUGUAUUAAUUAUCUAGCUUUCUCAACAAGUUAAGUUUCCUAUAAAUAAGUUGUAAUCUCUAAUGAAAUAAAAUAAGCUUUUGAGUGAUUAUUUUUGGAACUUUGGGAGUGAUUCUCAUUUUUCUUUUAAUAGUGUCUAAUAUCCAUUGAUCUUUUCGAUCCGACUUGGUGCGUCAUAUCCAAAGAAUCAUCCUCAUUGGCGUAUAAGUGCGUCAUAUCCUAGGGCAUUGUGUUGGAAUAUUGAAGGCCUUCUGCAUCCUUCGUGCAAGCAUUCACUCCACAUUCUUUGUCUUUGAAGCUUUACGGUUUCAUAUCAGCAAUGCUUAUCUCCUUUACCAACUUAGAGUGCCGACUACUCGGGAGGUUUUCAUCAUUUGGUAUCAGAGCAACACUCUGAGUUUGGUAUUCACUUCUAUAUCCAUCAUUCUAAUAUAUCCAUCUUCUACAAAAAAAAAAGAGUUUUAUACAUUUAUGUUCAACAAAUCUUCUGGAUCUUUUGGAAGUGUGUGUUCAAGUUUUCUUUCUCCAUAGAGCAAGAUUUUAGGACAAAUGGUUUUGAAGAGGAGGAGUAUGAUGUGAUCGUGGGCUGAUUUAUGAAGUUAUGGACAAGGAAAAUAUUUAGAAAUCAACCCAUGAUGUUAGGUAACAUGUCCAGCCCAUUUUAUGGAGUUACAAGCCCAAGAAAAAUCAAAAUCAAGUGGUUUUUUUGCUGUCCAAGAAAAGUGACGAAAAUCAGAAACUAAAUAGCAUGGAAAGUUCUCUCUCAUGCAUGCAAAGAUUGCUUCUUCCAAGAACCUUCUCUCUCCUUCAUGCAUUGUUUUGUGAUUUCCUAUGUAUUAGUUAUAUAGCUUUCUCAACAAGUUUAGUUUUCUAUAAAUAAGUUGUAAUGUCUAAUGGAAUAAAAUAAGUUUUUGAGUGAUUAUUUUUGGAACUUUGAGAGUGAUUCUCACUUUUCUUUCAAUGGUAUGAAAUAUCCUUUGAUCUUUUUGAUCCGUCUUGGUGUGUCAUAUCUUAUGGCAUUGAGUUGGAAUAUUGAAGGCCUUAUGCAUCCUUCGUGCGACCAUUCACUCCGCAUCCCUUGCCUUUAAAAUUUUACGGUUUCAUAGCAGCAAGGGUUCUCCCCUUUACCAACUUAGAGUGACGACUCCUCAGGAGGUUUUGGUCAUUUGGUAUCAAAGCAACACUUUAAGUUUGGUAUUCACUUCUAUAUCCAUCAUUCUUAUCUAUCCAUCUUCUACAAAGAAAAAAAAGUUUUGUACAUUUAUGUUCAACAAAUCUGUUGGAUCUUUUGGAAGUGUGUGUUCAAGUUUUCUUUCUCUAUAGAGCAAGAUUUGAGGACAAAUGUUUUUUAAGAGGAGGAGUAUGAUGUGAUCUUAGGCUGAUUUAUGAAGUUAUGGACAAGGAAAAUAUUUAGAAAUAAAUCCAUGAUGUUAGGUAACAUGUCCAGCCUAUUUUAUGGAGUUACAAGGCAAAAAAAAAUCAAAAUCAAGUGGUUUCUUUGCUGUCCAAAAAAAGUGACGAAAAUCAGAAACUAAAUUGCAUGAAAAGCUUCUCUCUCAUGUAUGCAAUGAUUGCUUCUUCCAAGAACCAUCUCUCUCCUCCAUGCACUGUUUUGUGAUUUCCUAUGUAUUAAUUAUAUAGCUUUCUCAACAAUUUUAGUUUCCUAUAAAUAAGUUGUAAUCUCUAAUGGAAUAAAAUAAGCUUUUGAGUGAUUA